UUAAAAGUAAUGAUUGAGAGUAUUAGAAAGAUUAAGAUUUCUCAGAGAGUAGGGAUGCUGUGAACCUAUAAAUCAAUAUCUUUUGAACUAGUUCAUGAACUGUAAAGGUGAACUAUAGUAGCUUUUACCGGAAAACCGUUAUAUUAAUUAAGUAUAAAUUUUGGAUGGUACCGCGCAAAACGCUCCAAUA
rnacentral:ncRNA from 1 species